GUCAAAAAUGCUUUUUGAUAAAUUAUAAAAGAAGGUAAAACCCUAAGAACAGGACUAAUAUUUGGAAACCGAAAGAGGAGGAAGGUGCAACUGAGGUCGGGUAGGUUCCUAUCAAGGUCCUUGCAAAUAGAUGGUUGGACCUGACAGCUCAUCAAACAUACACAGAAUCUUCAAGGGAUAUACACUUUGGAGGUCCCAAACUUCCUUAACAUCUCAAGUUUUAUAACAUAAAAUUGAUACAAUCAUUACUCUACUAAAGACUUUUCGACUAAUAUUUUAUUUUACUUUUUUGGCAUCGCAUACAGCUACAGUCUUAAUGAAUUUGUCUUCUACGAGUCCUUCAUUCCCCUUUUUCGGCUCUGCUUUUUUACAAAGCUAAUUAAGUUUUAUCUAACUGCCGAUAAACGCAAUCAUUAAGGACCGUCCAUAUCAGAAUACAGAUGGAAUAAGCAAGAUGAAAUUAUCAUCAAAUCAUCAGAAACAGAGCAAAGAAGUCGGCAAAGAAAUAAUAAUAUUGAUAACGCGUUGGCUGAACAUGCAGAAAAAAGGGUCAAAGCAUAUGGGAGGUGGCAGCAGGUGGUGGUGGUGGGGGAGGGGGAUUGAAUUGUAUUGCGGGAAUGCAUGGUCACAAGUAUGAUCCUAAUUGCGUGGCAAAAAUAAACAACUUCAGCUGUUAUUAGGAAGGAGAAGAGGGCAAGGGGAUUGUAUUGAAAACGAAUUUUAGCAAAAGAAAGAUGUCAUAUACCUGUAACCAACAAUUUGAUUGGACAACCUGGCAUCCAUAAAUCAAAACAUACUCCCCCAUUCUACCACGGCUGUCUGGUCCACCGCUGGAUUCUGAAAUGAAAACACCAAUACAAUGGUUUUCACUAUAACCCGUCCUAGCAACAAGGGUUGUCUAUAUAUCAAACAUACCUGCACAUGCUUUGAUGUUGGAACUCUCACAUCCACCAGCUACACCAUUUCACCACCCCAAGCGCCAUUACUGUUGCCAUUGAAACCUCUCUCUGUUUCUCCUUCUCUCUCCCCUUCCUCUUUUUCUCUCCCAUCCCUUUUUU
rnacentral:lncRNA from 1 species